rnacentral:lncRNA from 1 species
CGAGUUCCGUUCCAAGAACUUUAUUGACUCCUAGGUAUGUCUUCACGAACGGCUCAACCAUGACCCGUGGACUAGCUGUUACUAUAUACCGCUUCCCGAAGGUGUUGAAGAUACUCCACGCGUCAGGUCUCACGUCCUCCGCGUAAAACCUCGGUAGGACGGAACGGACCACGAGCUCAACGUCUCGGAUCUUGAGACCAGCGAAGGUGAUAAAGAUGAAAAUGUUGAUGGCUAGUGUCUCGGAGACGGAGAGGUACGUGAGGUAGACGAAUGGUACGGACGCAAGUAGGAUCAAAGCGCGGAGCAAGCUCCCUGCUUCGAGGGCCACGAGGAAAUAGUAAGGAAAUGCGCUACGAGAGAUUAGUAACGUCCCAUCGAGAUCAGCAGUCACGGUUUGGUUCGACCGGUCCUUAAUCUCAUAGCUUGUUAUUGGCUGGAAACGACGCCGCUUCUCCUGAGCCCCCAUCAGACAAGAAGAGAAGAGAGAGAGAGGUGGGAAAUUUGGAAGGUGAGAAUGAGUAUGGAUUGGUGAAUACUUUUUAGGAGUGUUGUUUAUAUAGUGAGAAGCGAAAGAGAAUGGGCAUGAUUUUGUUGUUGAGGUGGUUGAUAUUAGUAUACCAAAGAAAUAUAUGCUUUUGAUUUUUCAACGGUUAGAGAAAGAAAAAGAACAGACUGUGUAUAAUAGAUAACAAUAUCAGUAUGACUACUGCCGUUACAUAAAUUAAUUAGUCGAUCUUCCGAAUACGCAAGGAAGUGAUUUGAAUAAAAUAAUAGCCAAAAUGUGGAUAUCAAAUUUUGAUUAAUUAGGGAAGAUAGUUAAUUGCGAAGAAUGAGUGGUUUGAGACGUGUGAAAUAGAAUGAGAGUUAAAGUUGGUGAAGACCGAAACCAAUCUAUUGAUUAUCCAAACAACUAUGGAGAAUUUUUUAUGUUCUUGAAGGCCUACGCGCCGCCGGUUUAUAGUUAGAGGCUUUGAUCUCCAUCUUUGCCUCUUAUUGUUUAAGUUUGUUUUUGGUAUGCUGUGAGUGUCAGUCUCUACCAUGUUUUAUCAAUGAGUCUGAUUGUGGUUACCUGCGGUUUCUUGUGGCCUCUGGAAGUUCCUGGUUCAGCUAUGUAUAUUGCAAGUACACAACGUAUCAUUUUUGCUCAGAUUUUCUCAUUUUAGUUCAGUUCUUUUGAAUUGUUUUGAACUUUGUAUUUUAGUUAUGUUAUGAUCGUCUACCUGAAUUUUAAUUGAAAUUUGGUUCAAAAAUACAACAUGCAUUAUUUGUUUCUAAGAGAAAAGAUGGUAGGUGAUGAAAUUGAAUUGCAAAAUAAAAGAAAUAGAUUAGCAUUAAUAUAUAUAUUUGUAUAUAGUAGGUCUUUCACGGAGAUUUCAGUUCUUUUUUUUUCCGCCAAGUUUUUUAAUAUUAAUAAAACGGGAUCAAGCCCAACUACACGGCCCGAGGCCCAACAAGACAAACAUCAAGAAGUCCAAAACCCUACGGGGCAAAUAAGAUAAGUUAAAGGGUCUGCGGCCCAAAACAAAAGAAACCGGACGACUUCGGUAGACCCACGCGUCAAGGAGGCCGGACACGUGUAAGCAUAAAACACCAUCAGGACGACACGCGUCGCUUCCGCCUCAACUUGACCGUCACCGCCUCGAAACGUCGCCGGAGCUACCACCGCAAACCUUGAGCUCAGAUUACCGGAGAGCCUCCAUCGAAACCAUAUCUCUUCACUUCCACGCUUUGUCUUCACUUCGGAGAGCUUCAUCGAUCCAGUCGAGAGCUCAUCCGACUGAACAAAGCCGUGAACCACGAACCCAGAACCAAGACAAGCCACAAGCGGGAUCCAAAACCGAUCCAACGAACUGAAACACCUAAAGCCGGCGACGCAAGACUGAGAGAGCCUUCAUCCCCCGGAGACAAAACCGACGACGGCGAAACUGAAGAAGCCUGCACCUCCCGGAGACAAGGGCCGGCGGCGACGGAGCUGUAGGAGCCUAUAUUUGUAUAACAUGCUUAAGAUGAGCUUAAUGUAAAACAGAUUUUUGGGUCAGAAUUAAUUUACAUUCGAUUAAAAAGACAAUAUUAUAUACAAUCAAGCAAAUGAUCACACCAAGGUUUUCUUUCUUAAAUCGUUAUUAUACUAAAAGUAAAACUUGAAAAUAUCACGAAAAAACUUGCAAAGAAACAAUUAUCGAAGCAUAGAAGACAAAUAAAUUAACAAACUUACCAAUUCUUGCUAAAUGAAAAAAAAAAGAUUUAAAUAUUUGUAUUAUUUCUUCAUCAUCUCUUUCCUCCAAUCAAAUAUAAUCAUAUCUUCUCCUUCUUCACCGGAACCCUACCGUCGGUACCAGCUAGCAUUGCGUACUUAUCCUUUCUUGUAAAGUUGGUGCACUCAAACCCUAAGGUUCCUGCUAAAACCCUCUGUAUGUAAUUCGCCACCUCUAUCGGCGACUUGCCUCCUUUACACGUCAGCUCAGCCGGAAGCUGUUUAAGGAACGUGAUCUCGAACGUCGGAACGGGGUUCAUGAACGCGAAGUAAGGAUCAAGAAACUUGUAGCCACGUGUAGUUGUACCAUUAAACACGCUUUGUUUUGUAUUAAUCGCCACGGGAACGAUCCUGUCAGUAAGCUCGGCAAAGAGUGCACUAAACCGGAGAAGGAAAGGUUCACGGCAAGUGGUUCCCUCGGGACAAAUCACGAGAUCACCUUCCUCUAAGAGACGCUUGAUGUUCGCUGCGUCUUUCUCGCGCUGACGAGUCAACGCAACGGCUUUUAUUGGAGAGAUUAGCUCAGAGAAUUUGCUGAUACUGUACGUGACGCAGCUAAUUUUCCGACCGAGCGCGACAGCUGUCACCACGGGGUCGAGGACAGUCCGGUGGUUGCAGACCAAGAGGUGGCCUGGUUGGCCGGGUUUAGGUGGCGGAGGAGGGUUGCCGUUGACGAUUAGUUUGAUCCCUGUGAGCUUGUAGUUGUAACGGGCGAUGCGUUCCGGUAACGGAAUAUUCGUGUAGACGCGGAUGAGAGAGACUAGAAAACCGACGGGAAGCCAGAGGAUAGUUAACAAUGCAACUAACGGAGUUGGUCGUUGGACUAAUCUGCCCUCGUGGAAUAUUAUAGGGUUUAAGAGUUUAUUUCUUGGUAAUGGUUCGCAUUUUGUACGUGGCACCAUGUAACCCUCCUGCAGUCAAUUAAAAAAAUUGUUAUUAUAUUAACUGAAGCUGAAAAGUAGUUGUGAUUUGUACGUAAUUGUCUGGUAGCAUGCACUUUUGAUUUUUUUUGGGUCGAAUUAUAUGAUGCGACACCAUAGUACUCAUGAGAGAGACAUGUGUACUAUCAAAAUUAUUAGUGAUUAGAUAAACAUAUGUACUAUCAAAAUUAUUAGUGAUUAGAAAAACAUGUAAUACAUAUUACAUGUGUACGUAAUUUAUAUAAUUACCUAGGAUAAAUUUUUUUUGACUAAAUUAUAUUUUUGACUUAAUUACUUAGCAGUUUACGUUAUGAGAGUGAAGAAGAACAAAACAAAUAUGAUCAUGGCUUUUACAUGACAAAAAAAAAAACAGUGGUUCGUGUAUGAAAGUACCUAAAGUUACUGAUUCUAUCACAGAGUUUAAGAGUUCACUCGUAAGGUCUAAAACAAAUUUCUAAAAUAGUCUAUUGGGUAGAUAAGAAAGUUUAAGCACGUAAAAUGACUUUGGCCUUAUACGUAAAACCCCACCUAUUUUAUUUUCUUACAAGUAGUUUCUUUAGUUUUUUUUUUUUUGCACACUAGACAUUAUAAAAAGAACAAAAGUUUCUUUAGUUAUUUACCUAAUUUUAUCCUCAUUUAGUGCCACUAGACAUUAUAAAAAUAUUAUAUGAUUGGCCAAAAUGAAUAAGAAGGGCUGUACACACUAAACAGUGAACACCAUAGGACAACACAAUAACUACUCAACCAAAAAAGCUGCACGUACGUCCAAGUUUCAUAGACAUAUAGUUAUAUACUCAUAAUGUCGUGAAAAGUAUUUAUAGAGUUAGAUAGCAGUAAUAAAAAAAUACGAAAAUAACAUAUCAUACAAAAAAAUAAGAAGAUAAGUGACGGAAAUAACCUUGCAAAUUGACAUGAAAUCGUGGUCUGUCUUACUAUCGCCAAGCCCCAAAUCAGGUAAACCAGACGCAACGCCACCGAACUCUCUCAAAAUGGCGUCGCAUUUGUGUUGACCAACGAGAACACCUGGUCUUCUAACAAAACCAGUUGCACGACCCGAUUUGGACACUUCGAGUUCCGUUCCAAGAACUUUAUCGACUCCUAGGUAUGUCUUCACGAACGGCUCAACCAUGAUCCGUGGACUAGCUGUUACUAUGCACCGCUUCCCGAACGUGUUGAAGAUACUCCACGCGUCAGGUCUCACGUCCUCCGCGUAAAACCUCGGUAGGACGGAACGGACCACGAGCUCAACGUCUCGGAUCUUGAGACCAGCGAAGGUGAUAAAGAUGAAAAUGUUGAUGGCUAGUGUCUCGGAGACGGAGAGGUACGUGAGGUAGACGAAUGGUACGGACGCAAGUAGGAUCAAAGCGCGGAGCAAGCUCCCUGCUUCGAGGGCCACGAGGAAAUAGUAAGGAAAUGCGCUACGAGAGAUUAGUAACGUCCCAUCGAGAUCAGCAGUCACGGUUUGGU